AAUGAACGUUGGCGGCAUGGAUUAGGCAUGCAAGUUGAGCGGGCGUAGCAAUACGUCAGCAGCGUAAGGGACAGGAACACGUAGAUUACCUGCCCUCGGGUCUGGGAUAGCCACGGGAAACUGUGGGUAAUACCAGAUGAUAUCUCCGGAUCAAAGGUGUGAUUCCGCCCGAGGAUGGGUCUGCGUCCUAUUAGCUAGUUGGUGAGGUAAUGGCUCACCAAGGCAAUGAUGGGUAGCAGGUGUGAGAGCACGACCUGCGUCACUGGGACUGAGAACUGCCCAGACACCUACGGGUGGCUGCAGUCGAGAAUUUUUGGCAAUGGGGGAAACCCUGACCAAGCGAUGCCGCGUGCGGGAUGAAGGCCUCCGGGUUGUAAACCGCUGUCAGUGGGGAGAAAAGGAUGGUGGGUACUCCCAUCAUUUUGAUCUAUCCGCAGAGGAAGUGUGGGCUAAGUUCGUGCCAGCAGCCGCAGUAAAAC
rnacentral:rRNA from 1 species